UGGAUAGACUCAUAUCUGUGACCAGUGUCCGCCACCGCGGAUGGCAAGAGACCUGAUCGGACCGGCCCUGCCGCCCGGCUUCAAGGCCCGCGGAACAGCGGAGGACGAAGAGCGGGACCCGAGCCCUGAUGGAGUCUUGCUCUGUCGCACAGGCUGGAGUGCAAUGGCGUGAUCUUGGCUCACUGCAACCUCCACUGCCAGAAUUCAAGCAAUUCACCUGCCUCAGCCUCCUGAGUAGCUGGGAUUACAGACGCACACCACCAUGCCCAGCUAAUUUUGUAUUUUUAGUAGAGACAGGGUUUCACCAUGUUGCCCAGGCUGGUCCUGAACUCCUGACCUCGGGUGAUCCGCCCACCUUGGCCUCCCAAAGUGCUGGGAUUACAGGCGUGAGCCACCACACCUGGCCCAAACCAUUUUUUAUCAGCUUUCUAAUGCAUAUCCCCUGUUGCUGAUCUCUCUUGUCUAU
rnacentral:sRNA from 1 species